AGAGUUGAUCCUGGCUCAGGAUGAACGCUGGCGGCGUGCCUAACACAUGCAAGUCGAGCGGAGAUAAGUGAAGCCUAGCGAUCUAUCUAGCAGCGGAUGGGUGAGUAACACGUGGGUAACCUGCCCUACACUGGGGAAUAACAGCUGGAAACGGCUGUUAAUGCCGCAUAUGCGCACGGAGCCGCAUGGCUUUGGGCGGAAAGAUUUAUCGGUGCAGGAUGGGCCCGCGCCGGAUUAACUAGUUGGCGGGGUAACGGCCCACCAAGGUGAUGAUCCGUAGCCGACCUGAGAGGGUGACCGGCCACAUUGGGACUGAGACACGGCCCAAACUCCUACGGGAGGCAGCAGUGGGGGAUAUUGCACAAUGGGGGAAACCCUGAAUGCAGCGACGCCGCGUGAAGGAUGAAGUAUUUCGGUAUGUAAACUUCUAUCAGCGGGGAAGAAGAUGACGGUACCCGACUAAGAAGCCCCGGCUAACUACGUGCCAGCCGCCGC
rnacentral:rRNA from 1 species